AGACGGGGGGGGCGAGCGUUGUUCGGAAUUACUGGGCGUAAAGGGCGCGCAGGCGGCCUGGGAAGUCUUGGGUGAAAGCCCCCAGCUCAACUGGGGAAUGGCCUGAGAAACCACUAGGCUGGAGUGCUGGAGAGGGAAGCGGAAUUCCCGGUGGAGCGGUGAAAUGCGUAGAUAUCGGGAGGAACACCAGAGGCGAAGGCGGCUUCCUGGACAGACACUGACGCUGAGGCGCGAAAGCUAGGGGAGCAAACGGGAUUAGAUACCCUUGUAGUCC
rnacentral:rRNA from 1 species